rnacentral:rRNA from 1 species
UACGGAGGGAGCUAGCGUUAUUCGGAAUUACUGGGCGUAAAGCGCACGUAGGCGGUCUUCCAAGUCAGUGGUGAAAGCCCGGAGCUCAACUCCGGAACUGCCAUUGAAACUGUGAGACUUGAGGAUGAGAGAGGUGAGUGGAAUUCCCAGUGUAGAGGUGAAAUUCGUAGAUAUUGGGAAGAACACCGGUGGCGAAGGCGGCUCACUGGCUCAUUUCUGACGCUCAGGCGCGACAGCGUGGGGAUCAAACAGG